rnacentral:rRNA from 1 species
UACGAAGGGGGCUAGCGUUGUUCGGAAUUACUGGGCGUAAAGGGUUUGUAGGCGGUUAUAUAAGUCAGAUGUGAAAGCCCGGGGCUUAACCCCGGAAUUGCAUUUGAAACUGUAUAGCUUGAGAGUGUUAGAGGAAAGUGGAAUUCCUAGUGUAGGAGUGAAAUCCGUAGAGAUUAGGAGGAAUAUCGAUGGCGAAGGCAGCUUUCUGGGACAUUUCUGACGCUGAGAAACGAAAGCGUGGGUAGCAAACAGG